CCGCCUCUGCCGCCGGAAAUCUCCACCGAAGUCCUUUUUCCCUGGGGCUGAGUUGUGGUUCUUGCAUGCUGAGUUCGGUACCCGUGCAUGCGACAUCAAGUUGCCGCGUCGUCAACGGAGUCACCGCCGUUCUAUUUCUUGGAUACUCGUAGAUUCAGUAAGCCUUUCCCUGUUCUGAUUUCUUUUAGUCACUAUUCUGCUAUAUGUUUAUAAGGUCCUUGCAACGUUAAUGCUUUAGGUUUGAGUUCGGUUCUUACGUGCCGUGGUUAAAGUUCUGCUGUUU